AUUGCAAGUGAUGAUCAACAAGGGACUUAAUUCUGACAGAUGAUGUGGCUUGACAUGUAUCUGAUGCAG